AAACGUUAUCUGGUCGAAGCUGAAUUAUUGAUAGUCCUUUCUUUAUUCAAGUGAAGUCUAUUGAUUAGAAAACUGCUAUUAUCCCAAGCACUAUUAACUUUUGCUUAUGCUUAGUGCAAACGAUUAUUUGUAUUAACUGCUCUGAGCAUUGAAGAACAGGAAUAACAUAGAGGCAUUAGAGAGGAGCUCAAACAUUUGUCCUUCUGGUAGUGAUCACCAAGAUUCUAAAAGCACAUCAAUAAAACGUUUGUGCUAAACGGACUUGGUUUCACAACACUAUUGUCGUCAAUCCUGAUAAAAAAAAAACGAUUGAAGAGCACGUGUGUAGAUCCAAUGCGCCACAGUUACUUUAAUUAUUAGGAACAUCAUUACUCAUUUUGAAUUUAUAUUUUAAUAUUAUGUGGUUGGAGGAGACGAAACAAACAAAAGAGUGCCCUCGAUGGAUUCCUAUGUGUGUCGUUUGAUGAAUUGGCGCAGUCAGGACAACGUCAUUCUAGGAUGUCUUGAGCUGUGUCAAUAAUCCAUGGUCAACAUAUUCGCAAAGGUAGAGAGCGAGCGAACGACUGCGAUUCCUAUGAGACAAUCAACAGAAACGGUUCGAGGAAUGAUAGCGAGAAUGAAGUAAUGAGUAACACCUACACAGCCUUUGUUCAAACGACAGCACGUGUGUUCAAACAAAAGAAAUGUAGUUUUUAAUGGGCUCUAUUACAAAAUUACACGUAUUUCGUCCAACAUGUUGCUGGAUGUAUAUAUAUGGAGAUUUAUAGAAGAAUCGUUAAGUUCGGACUGUUUUCUAAGUAUUUAAACAACAUCGAGUAAUGAUUUUCAUCCAAAUUUAAGCAAUUUAAAAAUAUUUUCGUGUAUGCUAAUCUGAUACAGAUUAAAUUGCUCCACGAAUACGGAUUACUUAUUUUGAAGUUUAUUUUGCGCCGAGGCAAGGUUGCUACAUUUUAUAGCACUAAUGAUCAGAUUUCUGAAUGCAAAAGACGAAUCCUGAGAUCCGAUCGGUCCGGUCCAUUUCUCUGUACAUCAUAGAUCUCAUCUCCAUCUCCACAUCACACUCAGGUUCGAGAAGUUCCCACGGUCCAAUGCAAUACACGGUCAAAUCUGCAUGUAUCUGCUCAAUAUCCACGUGGAACCUAUCCUUCAUCGAUCAUAAUCAAAUAAUUUUAUAGACCGUUGAAACA